rnacentral:lncRNA from 1 species
UACAGCACAUGCGCGGAGUCCAGCCCCAGGCUGGCGGGCAACUGUCUCACCUGCUCACCUCGUGGCUUCGGCGGGCAGCUCCGGGACAUCGGGUCUUGGCGUCUUCACUCCCAGGAGAGCAGAUCCACCGCAUCAAGGGGAGCUGUGAAAACGGAAGGCAGAGCUGAGGAUGCCUGUGCCUGGGCUCUCCUACCGGGUGUCCGUCUCUGCGAGGGGGGAAGACGGGGGAGAGCGGCGCUGCCCCCACCACCUCCCGCGGGAAGGGGACGCUGCAGGUGCCCAUCACCCAGUGAGGGUGGCAUUAGCCUGGUGGCACCACCGAGCCGCCCCGCGACCCGCUGCUCCUGCCCCUGGCGAUCUGACGUUUCAGUUUCUUUCACUUAAAUUUCAAGGGCAGCAGUCACGUGUGGUUACCAGAGCGGACAGCCCAGAAGUAGAGCAUGUCAACCUCACAGACAGUUCCACGGGGCUGUUCUAGAGGGAGCAGGUCCGGGUCUGGGGACCAGGGAGACCCCGUGGAGAGGGGGGGACUCAGGAGCCUGCUCUGUCCAGCUCAGGCCUCUGACCCAUGUCCUCCUGAUGCCUCAUUCCUAGGAGACACAUGGACGCAUUCACAGGAUGGAAACAAUCCCGGUGAGUGAUGGGCACAGAGAAGCAGGACCUGGCCUGUGCCUUCUGGGCAAAGGGGGAAUGGCUUGGGUAUGGGUCAUAUUCCAGCUCUGCCCACGCCCUGUGGACAGAGGACUUCAGCCCCCAAACCCCAGUUUUGUAAGCGGGGAAAUGACUCCUGGGCCUUGGGACUGUUAGGCACCUGAGAGAUUUGUAGGUAGGUGUGAACAUGACAAGCAGCCAGUGUGUGGUGGUAUGCCGCAGGUGCUGGAUAAAUGCACGCUGCUGCUUAUCCAGUUAUGUCUUCCCUGCUCCCCCAGGCCCGUGGACAGAGCAUGUUUACAUUCUCAUCGGGGUCUCUGCAGCCUUUCUCCUUUGUCUCCUCCUCUUGGUCCUCCUCCUCCUCCAGCGCUGGCAUCAGAGGAAACGGGGUAGGUCUCAGGGACCGGGUGGGGUGACCUGGGCAGGCUGUUUGGGGUUCUGGGAAGAAGCCUUCUCAUCUCAACUCACACCUGACUCUCCUCAGGGCCCCCCAGAAGCAAAGGCAAGGAGCCAGAGCCCCAGGAGAGGCUCAGCCCAGCUGUUGACGUCCUAGAUGGGACACCAGGUACAGACAAGGGUGGGACAGGUCUGGGAGGGGAAGGGGGCAUUCACUGCCAUCCAGGAAGCCAUGUUCA